rnacentral:tRNA from 1 species
UGUCCGAUAGUGUAAUUGGCAACACGACAGUCUCUGGAUCUGUAGACUCUAGGUUCGAACCCUAGUCGGACAA